rnacentral:rRNA from 1 species
UACGAAGGGGGCUAGCGUUGCUCGGAAUCACUGGGCGUAAAGCGCACGUAGGCGGCUUUUAAGUCAGGGGUGAAAUCCUGGAGCUCAACUCCAGAACUGCCUUUGAUACUGAGAAGCUUGAGUUCCGGGAGAGGUGAGUGGAACUGCGAGUGUAGAGGUGAAAUUCGUAGAUAUUCGCAAGAACACCAGUGGCGAAGGCGGCUCACUGGCCCGGUACUGACGCUGAGGUGCGAAAGCGUGGGGAGCAAACAGG